rnacentral:rRNA from 1 species
ACUACGGGUGGCAGCAGUCGAGAAUCAUUCACAAUGGGGGAAACCCUGAUGCAGCGACGCCGCGUGUGGGAAGACGGUCUUCUGGAUUGUAAACCACUGUCCCCAGGGACGAAAAUGACGGUACCUGGGGAAGAAGCUCCGGCUAACUACGUGCCAGCAGCCGCGGUAAUACGUAGGGAGCAAGCGUUGUCCGGAAUUACUGGGUGUAAAGGGAGCGUAGGCGGGGAUGCAAGUUGGGUGUCAAAACUACCGGCUCAACCGAUAGUCGCACUCAAAACUGCAGCCCUUGAGUGAAGUAGAGGCAGGCGGAAUUCCUAGUGUAGCGGUGAAAUGCGUAGAUAUUAGGAGGAACACCAGUGGCGAAGGCGGCCUGCUGGGCUUUUACUGACGCUGAGGCUCGAAAGUGUGGGGAGCAAACAGGAUUAGAUACCCCGGUAGUC